rnacentral:rRNA from 1 species
GACGAACGCUGGCGGCGUGCUUAACACAUGCAAGUCGAACGGAAAGGCCUCUUUCGGGGGGUACUCGAGUGGCGAACGGGUGAGUAACACGUGAGUAACCUGCCCUUGACUUUGGGAUAACUUCAGGAAACUGGGGCUAAUACCGGAUAGGAUCUCCUGCUGCAUGGUGGGGGUUGGACAGUUUCGGCGGUUGGGGAUGGACGCGCGCCUUAUCGGCUUGUUGGUGGGGUAGUGGCUUACCAAGGCUUUGACGGGUAGCCGGCCUGAGAGGGUGACCGGCCACAUUGGGACGGAGAUACGGCCCAGACUCCUACGGGAGGAAGCAGUGGGGAAUAUUGCACAAUGGGUGGAAGCCGGAUGAAGCAACGCCGCGUGCGGGAUGACGGCCUUCGGGUUGUAGACCGCAUUAGAUCAUGAAGAAGCUUUGUGUGACGGUAGUGGGUAAAGAAGCACCGGCUAACUACGUG